UGGGGAAUAUUGCGCAAUGGGCGAAAGCCUGACGCAGCGACGCCGCGUGAGGGAAGAAGGUUUUCGGAUUGUAAACCUCUGUCAGAAGGGAAGAAACAGCACUGUGCUAAUCAGCAGUGCCUUGACGGUACCUUCAAAGGAAGCACCGGCUAACUCCGUGCCAGCAGCCGCGGUAAUACGUAGGGUGCAAGCGUUAAUCGGAAUUACUGGGCGUAAAGCGCACGUAGGCUGCUUUGUAAGUCAGGGGUGAAAUCCCACGGCUCAACCGUGGAACUGCCUUUGAUACUGCUUAGCUUGAGUCCGGGGGAGGGGGGCGGAAUUCCAGGUGUGGGGGUGAAAUCCGUGGAUAUCUGGAGAAACAUCAGGGGCGAGGGCGGGCACCUGGGCCGGUAUUGACGCUGGGGUGCGAAAGCGUGGGGAGCAAAAAGG
rnacentral:rRNA from 1 species